rnacentral:rRNA from 1 species
AGCUCCAGUAGCGUAUACUAAAGUUGUUGCAGUUAAAAAGCUCGUAGUUGGAUAUCUGGUUUGACACGUCUGGCUCGCUUGGUUCUUACUGAGUGUGUGUCGGGCUUGUGUCGUAUCAUCCUUGCAGUUCUCCUGGGCAUUAAUUUGUCUGGGAUUCAGGGCUGCAUCUUUUACUUUGAAAAAAUUAGAGUGUUUAAAGCAGGCGUUCGCUAUGAAUACAUUAGCAUGGAAUAAUAAGAUAGGACUUCGGUACUAUUUUGUUGGUUUUCAGGACUGAGGUAAUGAUUGAUAGGGGCAGUUGGGGGUGCUGGAAUUCAGCGGCCAGAGGUGAAAUUCUUGGAUUCGUUGAAGACCAACCGUAGCGAAAGCAUUCACCAAGGAUGUCUUCUUUA